ensembl:lncRNA
GCCACAAUCCAGAGGAAUCUGUUCAAACGGCUCAAAACUGACCUGCUCCUCAUCUGAGCUGUGAUUUACACCGCUGUUGUGUCCGUGUCUCUGAGUGAGAGGACUGACAGUGACCAUUACUGAACCCUAAACGAGCACACACUGUCCCACCGCACCGCAGCCCCAGCGGAGAGAAGCCAGCUGAUUACAGACCAGUUGCCAUUUGUCUCUGGAAAAAAGCUUGGAAACUCUCAAAAGUUCCAGGAAAGCUCUUUACAUUCUCACCAGAGGAGGAGUGUGGGGUCUGUCCUGCCAUCACCCACCCCUCUUUCAUCACAUCCAGCCCCCUGAGAGGAGUCCAGACCGGCAGAACCAGGUCCUCAGGAGCAGAGUGUGUUAUGUGUAAAAAGCUCUGACACAAAUUCAGCGCCACCAUUUCCAAAGUCCCUCCCCUGCGUUGUGAUUGGCUGUUGUGGGUGGCUCAGGUGUGCUUUCAUUGGCUUGGUUUAACGUAAGGCUCCAGGUGAAAUAGCAGAGCUCCAGUCAUGCGUGAAGGAACCAAGACACACACACACACACACACGUAGCCAAAACACAGAACAUACCACACACACACACACACACACACACACACAAAGCAAUGCAAAAACAGCAUAAAAUCUGAACCAGUAUUACAUAGA